UACGAAGGGGGCUAGCGUUGCUCGGAAUCACUGGGCGUAAAGCGCACGUAGGCGGAUUGUUAAGUCAGGGGUGAAAUCCUGGAGCUCAACUCCAGAACUGCCUUUGAUACUGGCGAUCUCGAGUCCGGGAGAGGUGAGUGGAACUGCGAGUGUAGAGGUGAAAUUCGUAGAUAUUCGCAAGAACACCAGUGGCGAAGGCGGCUCACUGGGCCCGGUACUGACGCUGAGGUGCGAAAGCGUGGGGAGCAAACAGG
rnacentral:rRNA from 1 species